AAAAAUGCACAUAAAACAAACAUAAGACAUAUAUAGAUAAAAGUAGAAAUAUCAAUGUAUAGACGUAGUUUAUAUAAUAUUCCAAAUGCGAUAAUAUAAGAUGAGUUAUGUAAAUACGAGAAAUAUAAAAAAAAAGAUAAAAUAAGAUGAAAUGGUGAGAUCAUAUAGUAGGGAUGUCGUCUUCCUGAGAGGAUCCACAGAGCAUGGCUACCUCCUGCCUGAGCUCUGCGAUCUCCUGAUAUAGACAGUCGGGUUCAGUAGCAUGGGUGAGAUCAGACACUCCCAUCUGUAAAGUGAGGUCAAC
rnacentral:lncRNA from 1 species